AUGGAGAACGACAACGCCUUCCCUUCUGGUGUCAGCAGGGACACUUUGCCCCAGGAUUUCCCCGUCGGGAUGAGGGUCCUCGUGGUGGAGGACGACCCGAACGACCUCGAGCACUUGAUGCAAAUCCUCGAGAGGUGCGGCUACAAAGCGACAGCAAAAGCGUCACCGAGAGAAGCGCUGAAAGAGGUGGAGGAGAACGGAGAGGGCUUCCACUUCGACAUCAUCAUGACCGUCGUGCACGGCGGCGAAGAAGGAGAUGGAUUCGACGGCUUCGACCUCCUCGAGCGUGUUCGGGAUCGUUACCCGGUCAUCAUUUUCUCUGCCGACUAUUCUAAGGAGAUGGUGAUGAGGACAAUCAAUGAAGGCGCCUGCGACUUCAUGCCAAAGCCUAUGUGCUACCAGGAGGUGCGCAAUAUAUGGUUCCAUGUCAACAUGCAGAGGGGAUUAGAAGUGGACGACCCUGACGAGGGGGUAGAAGGACCUAGCAACAAUGAGAAUCCCCCUGAGAUCAAAUAG
rnacentral:rRNA from 1 species